rnacentral:rRNA from 2 species
GACGUAGGGCGCAAGCGUUGUCCGGAUUUAUUGGGCGUAAAGAGCUCGUAGGCGGCCUGUCGCGUCGACUGUGAAAAACCACGACUCAACCGUGGGACUGCAGUCGAUACGGGCAGGCUAGAGUUCGGUAGGGGAGACUGGAAUUCCUGGUGUAGCGGUGAAAUGCGCAGAUAUCAGGAGGAACACCGGUGGCGAAGGCGGGUCUCUGGGCCGAUACUGACGCUGAGGAGCGAAAGCGUGGGGAGCGAACAGG